rnacentral:rRNA from 1 species
UACGAAGGGUGCUAGCGUUGUUCGGAAUCACUGGGCGUAAAGCGUACGUAGGUGGUCUUGUAAGUCGAUUGUGAAAUCCCCAAGCUUAACUUGGGAAUUGCAACCGAAACUGCUCGGCUAGAGUGUGGUCGGGGAUAGUGGAAUUUCUAGUGUAGGGGUGAAAUCCGUAGAUAUUAGAAGGAAUACCGGUGGCGAAAGCGACUGUCUAGGCCAUUACUGACACUGAGGUACGAAAGCGUGGGGAGCAAACAGG